rnacentral:rRNA from 1 species
GACAAACGCUGGCGGGGUGCGUGAGACAUGCAAGUCGAACGAGGAGCCUCCGAGCUUGCUUGGAGGUUUCCUAGUGGCGGACGGCUGAGUAACGCGUAGGUGACCUGCCCGGAAGUGGGGAAUAACUGCCCGAAAGGGUGGCUAAUACCGCAUGUGGUCGGCGAUUCGAUUCGCCGUCCAAAGGAGCAAUCCGCUUCCGGAGGGGCCUGCGUCCGAUUAGCUAGUUGGUGGGGUAACGGCUCACCAAGGCGACGAUCGGUAGCUGGUCUGAGAGGAUGAUCAGCCAGACUGGGACUGAGAACGGCCCAGACUCCUACGGGAGGCAGCAGUCGGGAAUUUUGCCCAAUGAGCGAAAGCUUGAGGCAGCAACUCCGCGUGAGGGAUGAAGGCUCUCGGGUCGUAAACCUCUUUUCUCAGGGAAGAUCCAAGACGGUACCUGAGGAAUAAGCCACGGCUAACUACGUGCCAGCCGCCGCCGUAAAAC